rnacentral:rRNA from 1 species
AUUGAACGCUGGCGGCAGGCCUAACACAUGCAAGUCGAACGAGUGGCGGACGGGUGAGUAAUGUCUGGGAAACUGCCUGAUGGAGGGGGAUAACUACUGGAAACGGUAGCUAAUACCGCAUACCAUCAGAUGUGCCCAUAGGGGAUUAGCUAGUAGGUGGGGUAAUGGCUCACCUAGGCGACGAUCCCUAUCUGGUCUGAGAGGAUGACCAGCCACACUGGGACUGAGACACGGUCCAGACUCCUACGGGAGGCAGAAGUGGGGAAUAGUGCACAAUGGGCGCAAGCCUUAUGCAGCCAUGCAGCGUGUGUGAAGAAGGCCUUCGGGUUGUAAAGCACUUUCAGCGAGGAGGCGUUACUCACAGAAGAAGCACCGGCUAACUCCGUGCCAGCAGCCGCGGUAAUUC